GGCAGCAGCUAAGAAUAUUCCGCAAUGGGGGAAACCCUGACGGAGCGACGCCGCGUGGACGACGAAGGCCGGAAGGUUGUAAAGUCCUUUUAUCCGUGAGGAAUAAGGAGGGGAGGGAAUGCCCCUCCGGUGACUGUAGCGGAUGAAUAAGCACCGGCUAAUUACGUGCCAGCAGCCGCGGUAACACGUAAGGUGCGAGCGUUGUUCGGAAUCAUUGGGCGUAAAGGGCAUGUAGGCGGCCGCGCAAGUCUGGGGUGAAAUACCGGGGCUCAACCCCGGGGCUGCCCUGGAAACUGCGUGGCUGGAGUCGCCGAGGCGGAGCCGGAAUUCCAGGUGUAGGGGUGAAAUCUGUAGAUAUCUGGAAGAACACCAAUGGCGAAGGCAGGCUUCGAGCGGACGACUGACGCUGAGGUGCGAAGGUGCGGGGAGCAAACAGGAUUAGAUACCCUGGUAGUCCGCACAGUAAACGAUGCACACUGGGUGUCCGGCCAGGAGGCUGGGUGCCGAAGCAAACACGGUAAGUGUGCCGCCUGGGGAGUAUGCCCGCAAGGGUGAAACUCAAGGAAUUGACGG
rnacentral:rRNA from 1 species